UCAAAGAAAUUUCAAACAAAUAAUAAGAAUUCUUAAAGAAACAUUAGAAGGAUCACAAAUAUCACUCAAAUACAUCUCAAUUCAAUCUUAAUUUAAUUCUAAUUAAAAUCCUAUUGAACUUCAUUCAAACUUUAGGCCAAAACUAAUUGAAUCUUAAAUCCUGAUAUAAUCCUAAACCCUAAAUCAAACCCUAAACAAACCUUUAACCAAACCUUAACUAAAUCCCAAUCAAAUCCUAACCAAAUCCUAAAUCAAAUCCUUACCAAAUCCUAAUCUAAAUCCUAAAUCCUAAACCAAAUCCUAAUCAAAUCCUAAAUCCUAAACCAAAUCUUAAUCAAAUCCUAAAUCCUAAAUCAAAUCCUAACCAAAUCCUAAACCCUAAACCAAAUCCUAACCAAAUCUUAAAUCAAAUCCUAACCAAAUCCUAAAUCAAACCCUAAUAAUUUCUAUAAUAGAUUUAAACCUCAAUAACUAAUGAAUAAACCAUUGAUCUUAAUUCAAAUUUUGCAUACUUCUAAAAAAAUAAGUUAAAAAUAAGCACAAAAAAAUUGAAAAAGGAUUGGAGUUACCAAAUUGUCGAUAACUUCAAAAAUGUGCUCGGGUAUUGGCCGGCCUCCUUCUCCAAUCUUAAUGCCAAUCUUCCAGAGCCAAUAUCUCUCUUUUGCAUUGUUCAAUUGAUUUCAAAAUUCUCAUACACAUAGAAAAAUAAGUCUAAUAUCCUUUCAUGCAAAUUUCACUCCAAUCCAACUAAUAGAUUGCAAGAAAUCUCAAAAACCCCCACUAGACCUAAAAUUCUUCUUUCUGAGACCUUGACCCACUUAAUCCUCAAUAUUCCUCAAUUCAAUAGUUAGAUUGAGUUCAAAUUCACGAAACAUAUUAAACAAAACUAUAACCAUAAAUCCACAAAAUUUCACUUAUAGAUCUAUUACAAAACUCUUGAAAUCUGUCAAAAUAUAAACCCUAUUUUAUUUCAUAAAAUCCAAGUCAUCCAAAACAAACCUCAACUUUGCAAAACUCUUACAAAGUCAUAUCAACUCCAAAUCACUCAAAAUAAAUGCUCAUAGAAAGCCUAUUUAGUCUGCUAUCAAACCUCAUUCUUUGAUCUCCAAAAGAACCCCCAAAGUCAUCGUCAAGACUCGGUUUUGUGCCUUAGAGUCUGAUUUCGACCAUGGUUCAUAACCACCCCUCUCUGGGUAUCAAUAUCUAGUUUUUCUAAGUAAUUUUUUUCUAGAAUUUACUCUUAACUUCCUUCUAAAGAUGAUUAUAUUAUUUAUUUUUCCAAUCUACUUUGAUUUGCCUUACUUAUGGUACUACAAAGUAAGUAGAAGUCACCUUUCUAAAAGGCAAUAUUGGUACCUUUUAAUUUUUCUACUUCUUUGACUAUUAACUAUAUUUCUAAGAUAAUUUGUUCUAAUACUUUGAACUAAGAUCUCCUAAAUUAUAAUAAUCUCCACACUCUUUCACCUAUUAAUCAUGUUACAUCAUGACACCGUAAACCAAUGACUAGAAUAUGGACAAAAGAAGGCUCCAAAAUUUUUGUUUGCCUCUUUUCUUUCAAUAAUUCCACCAAUUUAGAUAAAUGUGCCCUCGGUACGGAAAUUGGCCUUAAAUUCUAAGGCACAUGAGGUACUAUAAAGAUAACCAUAGGAGCAAUAAUAUUAGGAUUUAUACAUCCUAUUUCACGAGAUCCAAAGAUAAAUGAUUUACCUCGUUUUGCAAGCAUUUUUUUAAAAUAUUCAAUUUCUGUUGGAAAUAAAGAACCAUCACAUCCAAUCUUCAAUUCUUCAAAAGUCUCCUUUGUAAACUGAUGUCCAAUCUUCUUUGGAUCUCUUAAACUCUCUUCUUUGGAUGCUUCUUCCAUUUGUUUCUUAAAAUCUUCUAGUAAAGGUCUGGCAAUAGGUUUUACUUUUUAUCUACUGCUUUAUAUUUUGUCUCUACAAUAACUUCUGGUGCUUGAAAAGAUUUAAGUAUAGUAUAAACCUCCUUCGAAUGAAUUUCCUCAAUCUUAUCAUUAUCUCCUAACGCAAUAGAUGUAAUUAAUUCCAAAGAAUCCUCUAAUCCAUUUUCUUCAUAAAUACCUAAAAUCCUCUCAUCAUCUUCUAAUGUUCCUAACUUGCGUAAUUUCCUUUCAAUACUAUAUAAUCUUUUUUUUCUUUUCUUUUAAAAUCAUCAACUUUCUUAUACAUAAUAUUUCCAUUCUCAAAAAUACCAAUAAAACUUGUAUCAAAGACAUCUACAUCUUGUGAGAGUACAUCCUCUUUUGUACCUCCAUAAUCCCGCUUUAUAGUGGUACUUCUCAAAAAUCCUUAAAUUCUUCAACAAUCCUUAGCAAUAGUUUCUCCCUCAACCUAUCUUGAUUUUGUUCAUGAUUAGGAGGUAUUGUUAGAAAUUAUAUAGUUUUCCUUCCAUCUUUACUAUGUACCUUUGUAUAAGCAAAACCAUUAUCAAGUACUUUUGUUUCCAUCCGUAUUGCCAUAAUAUAAGGUUGUCUUAAAAUCAAUGGAUAAGACGUUGUAUCUUGAACAAAGAAAUGUCGCUCUGUCACAACAUCUCCAAUCCAAAUUUUGACAUCUAGACAAGCUCAAUGUAAUUCGCCUCAUGUAUUAUUAGUUGCUCAUAUUGCUCAUCCAUGUUCCAUAUCAAUUGGCCAUUUUUGCUUUUUAUAAAGAUCCUUAGACAUAAGAUUUAUUUCAGAACCAUGGUCGACUAAAGCAACAAUUUGUUCUUCUAUAUCUCCUACUUUCAUUAAUACUUUAGUAAUUGCCCUUGUCCAAUGCUUUCAAGUAUAAUAGCUUGAAGCUUUCAUUUCCUUAUCACUAUAAUCUUCGAAACAUACUCGUUGAUUAUAUCCAUUUUUUUCAUUUGUUGAUUGCUUGUAACCAUCAUCAACCUCUUCUUCAUCUUUUUAUAAUCUUGUAUCAAUAGCAUGGCUCAUUCCAGCUUCAUCCAUUAAUUACCUCUUUCGCUUAAUGCUGUCAAUUAUAACAUCAUAAAACUCCUUCUUUGUAAUUCUCAAAAUCUCUUUCAAUGUGAAUUCCACCUUAGCAUUUAAUAUACGUUCUUCCAACAUCUCUUUUAAGUUUGUUGCCACUUCAAUAUCAGAAAGUAGCUUAUAAGCAAUUGAUUUAUCCUUAUCUUUUGUCUCCUUUGUUUUUUCUUCCAAUGAUGUUGAAGUAUCUUUUAUAGGCAAUUCUUAUGAAGCCACCUCACGAGCCUUAUUUCCUCGAGUUUGCCUCUUAAAAGAAUUCCCUUCUCUUGUACCAUCAAAAUUUUCUCGUCUCUAUUCUUCAAUCAAGGCUUCAUGUUGGCUCUUAGUAAUAUAUGUAUGAACAGAAAGAGACUCAACAGGAUCUUCUCAACCUAUUGCACCUCGUAUUAUAGCUGUAGUCCUGAAUAACGCUUUUCUAGGCAUUUUUUUCUUUUUGCAUUGUAGAAAUGGUAGAAGUCCAAAAUUCACUAGUUUUUAUACUUCCACUAAAGUCAUCAUCUAUUCUAGUACCAUAACUUGCACUCUCUCGUGUUGCUAUUCCAUGUUCUAUUAAAUAAUCUUGAAUCAAUGCUUUCAUACCUCCUUUACUAAAAUUGGUUUGAAGGAGAUCCUCUGUAUCCUUUAAUGCAAUCUUUCCAUCUUUUCAAUAAAUAACUCCUUGCUGUACCAUAUUAUUAAAUUCAUUGCAAUCCUUCCUAAUAUGUGAAGCAUCAUCACACCAGAUACAUCUUUGUACAUAUCUUUGUUUUGAAAUAUUCUUCAAAUUAUUUGUAGAAGUAUUUUCUUCAAGUCUUGUAAAUUUGAUUUGAAGAUCUCGCAUUCCACGUAUAAUUUCUUCAAUCUCCAUACCUCCUUUCUUUGAUAAAGAUGUUGAAGGUUGAACAAUAGAUAUUAUUGGUCGUGUUGUAUAUACUAGAAUUUUAGGUGUUUGUAUUGCUUUUAGAAUAUUACUCCUAUCCUUCCUCCUUUCUCUUUUUGCAAGCAAACACACUGCAUUUUCAAUAUUUUUUCACUUUGUUGUCAAUCCUUCAUCUUUUUCUUUGUCUUCAAGAAGAAACUCCAAUUUUUCUUCUAAUUCUCCAUCAGUAGCUUGAAGAAAUAAUUCAACCUUGUUCGGCUCUAAUGUCAAUUUUUCUACCUUCGAUAAUUGAGAAUACUACCUCUCAAAUUCUCUUAGUCGCUCUGUUACUUGUAAAUUCUUUUCAGACCGCUCAAUCCAUCUUAGAAAUAGUUUCUUAGUAAUACAAUCAGUGUUCUCCAAGAAAUAUUCGUCUUUUAAUGCAUGUGAAAAAAUCUCCCAUGAAUUUCCAUAAUGCUCCAUAAUUGAUGUAAUAUGCUCUCUUAUUUCCGGUAUCAUGGCAAGUCCAAAUAAUUCAACCAUCUUCUUCUUAGAAAUCCGAUUUAAUUCUAUUUUCCAAAAAUAAUAUCUUAAAUACUUUGAAAUAUCCCUUCUAUCAAAUUCAUCAAUUUUAUUGACCACUGCUUGCAAUGCUUUGGUUGCUAAAGCUUCUUUGCGAUCAUUGCUUUCCUGUUGCUGCAUAGAUAAUGAUAAGGCUUGAAAUAUACUAGCAACACAAGGAUCCAUGUAUAUACCUUGUUCUUUAGAAGAAAUUCCACCAGAAGCUCUAAUUGAAGCUCCUCCCAAAGCUCCUUCAAAAUUUUUAUUCUCAUUCUUCAUAAAACAAAAAUAAAAAUAAACGAAUUCCAAUACCUCCCACCUCAAGCAUUUCACGUCAGAUUCACCACUUAUGUCGUAUUAUAUGCUAUCUUGCUUGAGAAUGCAUCGGGUGUCUAGCUGUAGAAGAUAAAAUAAUGUUUUACAAAUACCCAAGUAGAUUAGUGGGUUUCAACCAUCUAAAUACAAACUAUUUCGGAUUUCAAUGUAAAAGCUUAAUCCCAAUACAAAGUACUUAGAAAUACUAUUUUUAAUAACUUUAAGAUAAUAUAAGCACAAAUUCUUUUGUUAUUUGUUAGUUUUAUUUUAUUUUAUUUUAUUUUAUUUUAUUUGUUAAUUUAUUUUUUAUUUUAUUUGUUAAUCUAUUUUUUAUUUUUUUAAUUUUAAUUUUUUUAAUUUUUAAAUCUUAAUUUUAGACAGUGAGCUUCAACAAGAUGUAAUUCUCAAUCUGAUCAUUCGAUUGUUUUAAAACUUCUACGACUAGUGUCUUUGCAAGUCUUCUAAAUCCUCAAGAAGUUUUAAACCAAUCCAACUUACAGAUUGCAAAAAACAUUGUAAAUCCAUACUAAUGUCCCUUGACUACAGCUUAGAAAGUUGAUGACGAACUUUGAAUUAUAAUUUCUCCUUUUGCAACCAUUAAUUCUCAUUUAACUUUGUGUACAACUCCGUUUUUAAGUCUUGGACUUAUCAUGUCAAAAUUCACUUUAUUCCAGCUGAUAGAUCUCCAGAUAUUACAAAAAUCCUAAACAACCCCAAUAUGUCAACUUCUGAUACCUCUUUAUACUAAUGACCAAAUAUCCUCUAUUUGUACCGUUAAAUUAACACAAAUUUUUGUAUAUACUUGGCAUACUCAACCAUCUAGAUAUCUCUAAAAUUUCAACUGCAAAUGUUUUUCCAAUUUUACAAAAUAGUCAAGAGUACUAGCCUUAAUUUUAUUACAAAAAAAUCCAAAUCACCAAUACAAACACUGACUUUGAACAACAAUUGCAAAGUCUUGCCAAAUCCUAUGAAAAUCAAGUCUUACACCUUUUGAAGGAGCUUGAAGCUAGUUCUUCGACCCUAAAAAUUCCGAUCUCCGAAUGCCCUCUUUCUUUUCCUCCUUUUUCCUUUUACUUAGUGAAGUUCCCUAUUCUUUCACCUUCGACUCAGAAUUGGAAUAGCUGACCAUGCUUCUAUGGAAUUCUCGCCUCUAAGAGGAUAUUCUUAUAGAAAGAAUAUUUCUCUAAAAUGGCAUAGAGAACGAAAUAGCUUGAAAUAGAACCUAAGCUUCCAUAAUUGGAACCUCAUUCGAUUGCCCAACCGAGUCAGGUCUCAUACUAGAUAAGAGGCCUAUAACAGGUCCUGGAUUGGAUGUCCCCGUAAUUGGAUCAAAUUGGUCCUUCGCAUUAGAUUCAUCCAAAUAUUAAAUUUGUCCUUUCUCCUUUUGUCGACUACUGGUAAGAACGGCUUGGAUACAUUCCACCCGAUUUAUCAGAGUAUCUUGAGGACCUCGAUUUAUCUCCUCAAUUUUUUCUUCGCUUUGUAUUUGCUGAUCUCGAUUAUUGAAAUUGAACGGAGUAUUAUAUUACUGAUAAGUAUGCCUUGAUUGUUUACAAUUUCCAUACACUUGCAUAUAAUCAUCACUGGCUUUGGAAUUGGGACAUUCACUAGCAUAAUGACUAAUCUGUCUGUAAUGGAAACAACGAAGUAGUCUUCUUGCACCUCCCCCCCCCUCCUGUCAGGUAUAUUGGGUAUCUCCACCAGUAUAUACCUACUAGGUUUGUUCUAUAUAGGAUUAGAAAAUGAUAAUGGUUGCCCUGUUGGUACGAAGGGUACUUGAUUUGAUGACGCCAGUGGAGCAUUUUGCUGAUGUCACAUACGGUGGUAUAUCUUGCAAUGGAGAGACAUUAAUUGGCCCUUGAAUAUUGACAUUGGAAUUGGCCACUGUUUCUAACAUCCAAGAUAACUAAAUAUUAAUAAAAUCUUUUUUAUUUAUAUUUUCAUCAUAUAGUCGUGUUACAACACGACAACGUGUUGACAUAAAAUAUUGAAGGUUCUUGUAAUCUGUAUACAUAGUGACUAGGAUAAAAGCACCUUCUAGAUAAUGGCAAUAUUUUUGAAACAAAUCCAUGAUUGCAAGAAGUUCUUUGUUGUCGAUCUCGUAGUUGAUCUCGAAUGCUAAAAAUUUUCUGGAUUGAAAAGCUAUUUGAUGAAGUUUAUCAUCUGUUCUUAUCUGUGAUAAUACGGCACCUAAAGCAAAGUUUGAUGCAUCUAUUUCUAUAAAAAAAAUGGCUUAGAAAAAUCAACGCGAUACAAGAUUGGUACAGAAACAAAGGCUGUCUUCAAAGCUUCAAAUACUACUUCCGCUUUUUAAUUCCAUUGAAGUUUGACUUUACAAGUCAAACAUGUUAGUGGAGCUGCAACUUGAGAGAAGUCUUUGAUGAAGAUUUGAUAGUAGUUGGCAAAUCCCAAAAAAUAUUAGACAUCUUUUACUGUUUUUAGAAUCUUUCAAUUCAUAAUAGUUUAAACUUUCUUAGGAUCUAUCAUAAGUCCAUCAUUUGAAAUGAUGUAUUUUAAAAAGUCGAUUUAAUUAGUAUGAAAUAUACACUUUUCUAUCUUAGCAAAGAAUCCCCCAUUUCUUAGCUUUUAUAAUACAUGAUGAAUAUGAAAUUCAUAUUCUUCUAUAUUCUUAGAAUAGAUAAAGUUUUCAUCUAGAUAACAGACAAUAAAAUCAUCUAAAAACUCCCAAAAAACAUCAUUUAUUAGAUGUUGAAAUACUUUUGAUAUAUUUGUAAGUCCAAAAGGCAUGACGUUGUAUUCAAAAUGUCCAUACCUUGUUCAAAAUAUCCAUACCUUGUUCUGAAAGAAUAUCUGGAUUCUUCUUCUCAAAUAUAUCUUGAAAAUCUUGAUAUUGGCUUGAAAUGCCACUUGAAGUCUUUCCACUAAUAGAAACAAGUGUGCCAUAAAUGACACAAGGUGAUCCUUCUUUUAUAGCAUACAAGAAAGCUCUUGCACCUACAAAUACAAAUUUAAUUGUACUAGACUUAUGAUUUUUUACUUGAUUAACUAUGCUCUUAGUCAUACUUUCAAAAAAGUCAAGACUACGAGAAGUUCAAUCUAUUUUAGGAUUAUAUUUUUUAGCCAUCAUAAAUCUAAAAUAUCUAGAUUAAAGAGAGGUUUAAUGAUAUUAAAUAUUACAAAGCUACUAUGACCAUUAAUUGCUACUUUUAUAGGAAGGAUUUUAUGAGUAACAACUCCUAAAGACAAUGCAUGACCAUCUAUGACUUCUACAUCAACAGGUUUAGUUUUCUUCACUAAAAGUAUGCUAUGUCUUUUAGCAAAUUCUUCAUCUAAGAAACAUGCUGAAACUCCUAAAUCUAAUUAGAUAGAAGCUUUGUGAUAUUUAGGUUCUAAAGUAACAUUUAUCGUAAAACAAGAAGAGGGUUCAAAGGAGAAAAUAGGAACUUCACUAGGUGUUGUACAACAUUUCAGUUGCACAGUCCUUAUUAUAGCUCGACAAAUUUAUUUUCCAACAUACUAUCUUCUUUGAUAGCCGUUGUCAUAAUACGUGAAGUCUUGCUUGAGAAUGCUUCAGGCACCUAGUUAUAGAAGGUAGAAUAGAAAUUGCAACAAUAAAAUCUUAACUCUAAUAAAAUACUAACUAAACUAUAAUUAAACCAUAACAAUGCUAAGUAAGCUUUAAUCAAAUUCAAAGAAACUUCAAAGGAAUUAUAAAGAAAUAAUAAGAAAUCUUAAAGAAAUAUUAGAAUGAUCACAAAUAUAUCUCAAAUACAUUUCAAUUCAAUCUUAAUUUAAUCCUAGUUAAAAUCCUAUUGAACUUCAUUCAAACUCUAUGUUAAAAACUAUCUAAAUCUAUAAUCCUAAACAAACCCUUAUAAAAUCUGAAAUCCUAAACUAAACCCUAAUCAAACUUGUGAAUGUUUAAUUCCACCCAUCAAUCCAAAUUACAAAAUGGCCUCAAUUAAGAGUUUCUUGUAAUGGGUGGUAUGAAGUGGAAGUAACAAACAACAAGAACUAAAGAAGAAUAACACAAAACAAGUGAAACAAGUGCAAUCAAGCAAUUGUACACUACAAAACGAGUCACAGUCUGUUCACUAGAUUUUUACCAAGUAAAAAGUAAAAAAUAAAAGUAAAAAAUAUAUUUUUAGAAAGAUAAUUUUUUUAAUCUUUUCAAUGAUGUAAAAAAUAUGUAAAUCCGACUUAUUAUGAGUAAGUUAUGAAGGAUUAAAAAUAACAAGUAACAAAUAGAAAAUUAAGUAAAAAAUAUUUUACAUCAAGGGUAACUUGUUAAUAGAUCAAGGGUUCGAACCUCACCAAGGCUCACAUGUAGUAUUUAUGGGUUGUCUAAAGAGGCCUUUAGGCCUUAGUCUUAUCUUCCUACCUACAUCCAAGGUGCUACAAUCCAUAUAGGACUUGUGCACCUCCCUGCUUACAAGGACUAUACUUGCUGCUGGUCCUCCUAUUUUCUAAUAGUAGAAUUAAUAUUUUUGAAUUUUUGACUUCACCAUGGUGUUCAAAAACACCCAAUUAUCCUAGAAACAUUGCACGGCCUUCAAACCUUGCUCUAUUUCUUCAUAAUGGCUCCCCAAGUGGUAAAACUCAAUUUUACCAAGGUCUUGAAAAUUAUCCUAAAAAUUCAUAGAAAAUUCUAAAUAAAUUCUAAAUAAAUUCUAAAAAUUACUAUAAUAUUUCUAUAAUUCUAAUAUUGAUUUAAAGAUAUAAUUUCCUAUAUUUAUGAUUUUUUAUAGUGAUAAAAAUCAAUUUGCAUCUACUAAAAAUUCUAAAUAAUUUCUAAAUAAAUUCUAAAAAUUUCUAUAAUGUUUCUAUAAUGCUAAUAGCAAUUUAAAGAUAUAAUUUCCUAUAUUAUAAAUUUUUAAUAGUAAUGGAAUUAAUUUAAAUCUACUAUAAAUUCUACUUUCUAUAUAAAUAACUAAAAAGACAUGAGGUCCUUUCUCAUGCUUCUUUUAACUACUAACUAACAUUUAUAGUUUUUUUAUAAGUAAUACAUAUAGAUAUUAGAUCAAUAUAAAUAUUUAUUUUAGUAACUAAUCGUUACUUCUCAAUAAUAAGUAAAAAUACUAAACCAACUAAAAUAAUUACCUCCAAGACUUACCAAGACUCCAUUUCUUCUCCACUAAUACUUUUUUUCUUUCUUUAACAUCUUUCAAGCACAGCUUUACCUAAUAAUUAUAAUUUUGAUACUCUACAUGCAUUCUUUUGUCCUAAAAUAAGUAAUGAGUCAAUCUGAUGACUCACAAAAUCCUAAAACAAAUCCUAAUCAAAUCCUAAAUCCUAUAUCAAAUCCUAACCAAAUUCUAAACCCUAAAUCAAAGCUUAAUCAAAUCCUAAACCAAAUCCUAAAUCCUAAAUCAAAUCCUAGUAAUUCCAAUAAUAGGUUUAAACCUCAAUUAUUAAUGAAUGAAUCAUUGAUCUUAACUCAAAAAUUACAUUUUUUUUAAAAAUUAAGUUGACAACAAGCAAAAUAAAAAUUUGAAAGGAUUGAAAUUACCAAAUAGAUGAUAGCUUCAAAAACGUGUCUGGAUAUUUGUCGGCCUCCUUCUCUGAUCUUGAUGUCAAUCUUCAAAAGCCAAUAUAUCUUCUUUUCAAUAUUUGAUUGAUCUCAAAAUUUUUAUAUACAUAGAAAAAUAAGUCUUAUAUCCUCACACACAAAUUUCACUCUAAUCUAAUAAGUAGAUUGCAAGAAAUCUUAAAAAUCCUCAUUGGACCAAAAAAUUUAUUCUGUGAGACCUUGACCCACUUAAACCUCAAUAACCCUCAAUUCAACUAUUAGACUGAGCUAAGAUUCACAAUACAUAUUAAAUACAAUUAUAACCAUUAAUCCACAAAAUUUCACUUGUAGAUCUAUUACAAAACUCUUGAAAUGACUAGAAAUGUUAGUCCUAUUUUAUUUCACAAAACCUAAGUCAUCUAAAAACAAACUUGACUUUGUAAAACACUUACAAAGUUAUUACAAAUCCAAAUUUCCCAAAACUAAUGCUUAUAAAAAUCCUAUCUAGUUUGCUAUCAAAUGCCACUCUGCAAUCUGUCAAAGAACUCCUGAGUUAUCAUAAGUGCUCAAUUUUGUGCCUCAAGGUCUGAUUUUGACCUAGGGUGCUAACCAGCCCUCCUUAGGUAUCAGUAUCUAGUUUUUCUAGGUAAUUUUUAUUAGAAUUUACUUUUAACUUCUUCUUAAAGAUGCUUAUGUCAUUUAAUUUUCUAAUCUAUCUUAUUUUGCCUUAUUUAUGGCCCUAUAAAGUAAAUAGAAGUUACUUUUGUAAAAAUAUAAUACUACUACUAAAAGUUUUACUACCUUCCUAUCUUUUAUCUAUGUUUUUCUAUUUUAUCUUUUAACUUGGUUCUUCUAUAAUAAGAUCCAUAUUAUCAUCUUUCACCACAUAGUUGUGUUACAACACAACACCGUACUCCUCAUUUUAUAGUUGCAUCGCUUCUUUGGGUAAUGUUAAGCAAUGUGCUUAGGUUCUCUACAAUAUAAGCACAAUCCUUCCUGACGACGACGAGUCUUUUCUUGCUCAAUAAGAAAUUUGAAAUGUACCACAUCAAUGUACAUAUCUUCUAUUUCUAAAUGUAUAUAUUGAAGAGGUGUUGAUAUUGCCAUUCAAUUAUAGUAACGUUGAGAUUUAAUUGUAUGGUUCUCCAAUCGAAAUUCAAAAAGAUGAUUGUUGCACUUCCUAACAAAGUCAAUUACUUGACUCAAUGUUUGAGGAUCAGGUAAGUUGAGCAUGUAUUUUCUUACCUCAUAUUAUAAUCUAUAGAAAAAUUGGCUAAGAAAUGCAGCAUCAUUCCACAUGAUAUCAAUUGCAAGUUGUUGAAACUUUGAAGCAUACAAUGUUACUGAUCGAUUGCCUUGUCGCAAAAUACGGACCUUAUUAGUUGAAACACAAAUUGCAUCAUUUUUUCUAUACAUGAAUUAAAAUUCUACCAAAAAAGCCUCUAGAUUAUCUAAUAUUGGAUCUUGUCGUUCAAGAAAAGAUAAAAACCAUGAUAAUGUUGAACCUGAAAGAAGUGUACCAAUGAAUCUAACUUGCAAUCCUGAAAUUGGAUAGCUUUGGAAUUGAAGUUCAAUCACAAGUUAUACUUGAUUGAUAAAUCUUUUAAACUUUGAUCUGGUGCCAUCAAACUUCUCGGGUAGGAAAAUUCUUGGUUCUCUAACUUUGGAAGGAUGUUCCACCAUAAGAGAAGGAACAUGAUUUGAUGCACAUGUUAAAGCAGAUCCAAUUAUUUCUAUAUCUUCACUUCUUGCCAAUCUUGUUGCUCCUUUUAGUGGCAAAUUAAGUUGAUGCAUCGUAAACAUUAACUCCAUCAAUUGUUCUUGCAUUUGUACCAUUGCACUCUUUAUUUGAGUAAGUUCUGCCAUAAUAACACUUAGGAAAGAAAAGAUGUUUAAUAUUGCUCAAGACAAAUAGAAGAGAGGACUUGAGAAUAAAAAAAAUAUUAAAAAUAAUAUCAGUUUAGAAGAGGGUAAUCUACAACUUCUAAUACGCUUAUGUCUUAUCAAGAGAAAGGAGUAAUCUACUCUUAAUCAAGAUUAAACAAAGCUCUGAUAUUGUAAGUACACUCUUAUCAAUUUGUCAAGGACAAGAACUUGAUAAAAAAAUUAAACAAGUGAGACUUUUCUUAAAGAAAGAUUAUAACAUAGAAAUAACUAAAUAUGAAUAUUAAGAAAGAAACUGGAAUGACUAUUGUCAAAAGACAAGAAAACUAGAGAUCCUUGAAACUAGACUAGAAGCAAAAAAGGAAUUGACAAGAGUGAAGAAGGCUUUACUCUUGCCUCUAUAUAUAUUAUCUACCUAAGAGCUACGUGGCAAUAUUCAUAUUUAUUCUAAUAUUUAUCUAUAUAAUUAAAUAGAAAUAAGUAAAAAUAAAUUUAUUAUAUAAUUUUUUUUUAAAAAGCUUCUUAAAAGCUUUAUAGACGUUGCUUUGAUUUUACAUGUAUUUUUAAUUGUUUGAUAGGUUAAAUACUUUGUCAAUAAGCUAAUCACAUGUUGAUAUCUUACAAAAGUAGCUAAUCAUGUGGCAUACAUAUAAAAAACUUGUUUUGCAAGUUAAAAUAGUUGUCUUAUAAAGUCAACAUGUAUUGAAGGUCUUAUAGGAUAUUGUAGCAUAGCUCUUAGUUAAAAGUAUAUAUAGAUAUAAUAGUGAAGCCUUCUUCACUCUUAUCAUUACCUUUCUAGUCCUUAGUCUUAUUUCAAGACUUUUUAGUCUUUUUGUGUUUGACAAUAGCCAUUUUAAUUUAAUACUAUAUCAUCUUUGAGUGAUUUGUUAGUCUUUUUAAGUGAUAUAAGAAUUUAUUGAUAUUUUAAUUCUUUGAAAUUCAUGUCUUUAACAAAAAGUAGUUGAUAGAUCUUUUUAAUCAUCAAUAGCAUCUCAUACCUCUGAAAGAAGACCACUUUGUUAUUUGAUUAUUAUUAAAGCCUUUAUAAUUCUUUUCAAAUAAAAUAUUUGGAACACCAUGAAGAAUCAUUCUUACCUUGAAUGAAAUCACCAAACAUGGAAAACUUCUUCUAAAGUCAUAAUACCAAAUAUAUUAUAUCUUGACAUCUAUUCAAAAAUAUACAUGUUAUUUUUAAGAAUCAACAUCUCUAUUACAUCAUCUUAAAGAUUGUGGCUAUUAAAAUGUCUUGUUUAAUAAGUCAACAAAUGAUAGCUUUUGAGUUGAAUUUGUUAGUUUUUAGUUCUUUAUUUCCUUGAUGCUAAAAAUAUAUACAAACUACAAAGAAUGAUAGAAGAUAAAAAUGUUAUUUUUUAAUCUUAAUUCUUUUAUAACUAAGAUUUUUUAUUCUUCAAUUUAAUUUUGAAGGAUGUCAUUGAUCAAAAACAUCAAUCUUUUUUGCUACUUUUAUAAGAUUCUUAGCCAACUCUCAUGUUUAUUUACUAAUAUCAUAUUUGUAUCAAUGAACAAGAUAUUUCAAUCUAUUUUGGCAUCGCCUUUAGUCUAAGUCGUCUUCUAUCUUAAAUUCUUUAUUAUUAUCUACUUCUAAAUGAAAAUGUGAUAUUUGUUUUCUUUUUGAGAUGCUUAUUGUCUUGUAUGGCUCAAAAAAAGUCAUGUAGAAUAUGGCAUAGAUCUUCAUAUACUUUAAUAAAUAUAAUUGAUAAAAAAUUGGAUUGAUUUGUUUACAAGUAAAAAAUAAUUUAAACCCAUGGUAAUCUAAUUUAUCAAAAAAAUAAUUUAUCUUGAUAUUACAAAAAAAUAACUAUACCUUGUUGUAAAUGUUGUUGUAUUGUGUUUUGGCAACCACGUAAAAAUAAUAUAUUUAUAUAUUUAAUACACAAUGUACUAGACAACAUGGUGAAAGCCAUAUUAGUGGAUUUUUUUUCGGUUAUAGAAUGUGAAUAGAUUACUACCUCAAAAAGAGAUAGUUUAAAAGAACUUUUAUUAGAAUUUAUAUAAUAUUAUUUUCUUUUGAUAGUGACUUUGAAGUUGAUCUUAUAAGUAGUAAUUUUUAAAUAAUUAGAGUCACCUUUGUUAGAUAUUGGUAACCCUUAAAGUCUUAUUUUGUUUCUUUUAGAUUAUGUUUAGGACAUAUUGUAGAAUAAGUAGUUAUUUUCAGAAUGUAGAUACCUAGUGUAUAGUGUAAACAGAGAUAGAUAAUUGCUGAAAAAGUGGUUCAACACGUAGAAUGGAUGAAUAGUCAAGAAAAGUAGUUAUCAACUGUAGUAUAGGAGUUGGUAUCUCGGGAUAGUAUAAGGAGGAUGGAAGAGGGGAAGAAAAUGCCAAACUGUGAGAGUUGUAAGCCAAGGGCCAAACUGUGAGAAUCGUAAGCCGAGAGCCAUUGCUGUGAUAGUGUGAGCCGGGGUAAGCUUGGUGCUACCUCUUUUCUUUUGUUUGUUAUUUUCUUUGAAUAAGAGGAUUGAGAGUUUUUGAAUAUUGUGAAGUGAAUUAUGGAAUGGAAAUGUGAUUGAUAUUAUUUGAGAAGAAGAAAGAUUGAAUGUUGAAAUCUGAUUGUAGUUCAACAGAGAGAAUGAGUCUGUAUUUGUGUGAAACACUAUAAUGUGAAUGGCAGUUCUGUGUGAAGAAUUCCACUGAUUGGAACGAGGAUAAUUGUGUGCUGAAAGUUGUGAGGGCAUAGUAUUACAGUUGGAGAUUAUGAGGGUGAAUAUAUUGGUAGAAAUAGCAGUUAUUGGUAUAACUGAAUUGCUAUAAGGAAGAAACCGAUAAGGUGAAGGAAGAGAUUAUAGUUUUCUUGUGUGUUCAGAUAUUAGAAAUAGAGACGAUACAUUCAAGAAGUAAUUGAUUGUGUGAUCCUAAUGUGAACGCUUAAGUAACUAGUCAUAUUCCAUGUUUGAAUCCCCCUAUAUGGAUUUAUUCUGGGAGGUUUCUUUCGGAAUAAGUAAAACGAGCAAUCACAUUUUGGUGCCGCUGCCGGGGAGUGAUAAUAGCUUUGAGUGUUAGGAAUUAAUUAUCAAACGUGUGAGAAAAUUGGCAAUGGAAGACGAUUUCAGUAGUAUUUGAAGCAAGAUUAUGGUUAAUAAGAACAAGAGUAUUGCAUCGAGGAAAAUAAAUCAGUUGAGAAAAAGACAAGGAAGAGCGCAAGGAAGGAACUUGCUUAGAGAGGAGCAAGAACGUAAUCUUAAAAGGAAGCAUCGACAGAAUUGGAUUAAACCAUGGUUGCAAGCUUGUCGGUGCAUCCAAACAUAUCAAGAACCGGACAGACUUUUAAUUCUGCAAUCGUAUGUACCGUUAGAAAAACUGCCAAGAACACUUGCAAAAAUUUUUUUUAACAUUCCAGUGGAAAUCUUGAGGCCAUUAACUGAAAGAGAAGGAGGCGUAGAAGAAUUUGGUACUCCAUUGGAUAUUUUUUCAGUAAGGGGUACCGCUGAAACAAGCAAUAGUGGCUCUUCAGAUUGGAACAAAUUGGUCGCCAAUAAAGAUAAUUAUAUUGUAUUUCAAAAUCCAACGUUUUCACCUGCAAUUCAACCAAUAAAACUAUUUGCAAAAAAUAAUAGUAAAUUGAGGAGUACUGAGAGCUUGGAAAUUAGAUAAGGAAAAGCACAGAUUAUUUUAAAAUGGAGUUUAGCAAAAUAAGAAAUUCAAUGGCGUCAAGAGGACCAGCCAUUCUAACUACAGUACAAAUGGGUGUAGUAGGCGAUUGUACGACUAUUGUCACAUCAUUACUUACUUUUUGGGAUUUGCCAAUUGCGGAUCCAAAUCAAUAUUUGUCUCAAUUCUUGACGAUGUGUAUAGCCAAUAAUGGAAGAAUAGAAGAUAUUUGGUUAAGAUGGUUGCUAGCGACAUUGAAAGACAUAGCAUUUGAUUGGUACAACCGCCAACCUGUGGGACAAUUUAUCAAUUGGGAGGCAUUGAAAAAUAUAUUUUUAGCCCAUUUUCGACCAAUUGGUUUUGAAGAACGUCUUAGAGAAAAAUUAAUGACCAGCAAAAUGGUAUCAAGGGAAGCGGUACAGUCAUAUUAUGGUCGUAUAGCAGAUAUACUUCGAAAAUGGCCAAAUAACCAAAUGUCGGAAUCGUUUGUGUUGUCCAUAUUGGUUAAUGGACUACACCCACCAAAAUUAAAGAUGUUUGUAAAGGAGGCCCAAUCAACCACGAUUGCAUCAUCUCUUGAGUGAGCGAAAGUAUGGGAGGAAUGUCACUAUGACUUGAACUUAACAGUUGGAGCCACAAUGAUUCCAUCUCAAGGAGGUUAUCAAAUGACAAAUUAGAAUGACGCAUCGAAAAGUUAUCUGGGAAGGAAUGAUUAUGGUACAAUUCCACAGGGAAUAGUGGAUGCCAUUCCAUUAUAAGUUGUACCACCAUCAUCAUCACACCCGUAUGCACCUUAUUCCAUGUAUCAAAAACCAAUACCUACAAAGGAAUUGUCAAAUGCAUUGAUAUCAAGAGAUCCCAAUGAGUCAUUGUUGUUAACAUUGACGAAAAAAAUGGAUGAAUUGGCUGUAAAUCUGGCCAAGGAUAAAGAAAAAAGGCCUAAACCAACCAAUAUGCAUCCCAAUGUUUGGUACAGCAAUUAUAAGGGGCAAGGUCAUUUGGUAACAGAAUGUCCUUCACCUCCCCAAAUGACUGUACAAUGUACUUUUUAUGGGGGCAAGCAUAUAACCACCAACUGUUGGAAUUUAUAGAAGGAAUAACAACUCAGUAAUCAGAUAAUGACUCAACCAACUUUGUGGGAUGUCAAUCAAGUACAAACGAAUAAUAGGUUGUGCUGGAAUAAAAAUCGAGCAAAUUAACAAAACAGGAAUUAUUCCAAUUUUUUAAACUCUGAAUUUCACCAAAAAGGUGUAUCCAAUACUCACGGAUUGGUGAUGAACCAAUCAAAAUACCAUCAAUAUCCACCCAUGACGAAUCCAAUGCCAGACUCUACAGUAACAAUGGGUCAACCAAGAUCCUUUACUCAUCCGACAUGGGACAGAUUUAGCCGUUAUAUACCAGUAGAGACACCCAAUAUCCCUGAAGGAGUUGGUAGGAGACCACUUCGUUGCUAUCAUUGCAAACAAAUCGGACAUUAUGCAAAUGAAUGUCCUAAUCCAAGGGCUAGUGAUGACUAUGCUCCAAUAUGUGGAAAUUGUAAGCAAUCUGGUCACACUUAUCAGCAGUGCAAUGCGCCCUUUAAUUAUAAUGACCGAGACCAGUAAAUACAAAUAAGCCAACCGGCAGAGGACGAAAGCCCUGUUCAACGAGACUCACCACUAUAUCAUGUGGAGGUGGUGAACGCAGUGCUUACCAAAGGCCAACGAAAAGACAAGAAUCUAAUUCAAGACCUGGAUGAACCAAUCGCACGAGAGCAAGUAGCGCCAUCCACGGGGCUAAACGAACCAAUAUCAGUAUUGGAACGUAUCCCAAUAUUGAGACCUCAACAGACUGAGGAACCCAAUUCGGUUCCACAUGCUAAUUUAUCGGAACCAUCCCAUCUAGGUCCUGUUACGGGCUUCGUACCUAGUAUGAGACCUGAAUUAGUAGUAGAAUCCAAUGAGGUCUCAAUUACGAAAGCUUUGGUCCCGUUCUAAGCAGUUUUGAUCCCUAUGCAAUUUCGAGAAAUGUCCUAUCCAUUGAAAGAUCUUCUCAGGGGCAGAAAUUCUAAGGAAGCCCCAGCUACUGUUCCAAUUCCGAGUUUAGGGCGUAAGAAUAUCUUACCUCAUGGAGUAAAAUCAAAACCAAUGAAACAAAAAAGAACAUUGGGAAUUACUCUCAAUAUGGAACCCUAUGACAUUCUAAAGAAUUUGGAUGUUAUUCAGCCUUCAAUUACAAUGAAGCAACUUUUGGCUGUAGCACCGAAAUGUCGAUCUACAUUGAAUUCAGCGCUAAUACGACAAAGAUCCUGCACUAAAGAAAUUCAUGAAGUUAGCUUAAACCCAGAUCCGGGAGCACCAAAAAUCGAUGUAUCAAUCGAUGGCAUUUUAAUUCUAGGGGUACAAGUCGAUAGUGGCUCCAGUGUGAAUUUAAUGAAUACAAAUAUAAUGGAGGACUUAGAUCUAAAGCAAUUGCUACCUAUGACAUUGGUCAUGCGAAUGGCAGAUCAUAGUCGGAUAAAGUCAAUGGGAAUCUUAUGCAAUAUUGCUACUGUAAUCGUAGGAUUGACAUACAAAAUCAAUUAUAUUGUAUUUUGAUUACAGAGUUCUACGUUAUUGUAUCCUAUUUUAUUGGGCAGACCUUGGCUUUAUCAAGCCAAAGCUAAGAACGAUUGAGGUCAAGGCACAUUGACAAUUUUAAAAAGCCAGGAUUAGAUUGUUCUACACAUGUACCCGGUACAAUAUCAUGGAGAAUCUCAAUUGCCAAAAUCAAAAUUUACAUUGGACAACGAGAGUCAAUUGAUUGAGGGAGAUGAUGAUGCUAUAGAUUCACCGCAAUUUAGGGUAGGACAAAACACUUCAACACCAAAGGCAGGAGUCUACCAAUGUGAAAGGCUCGGUGAAUAUUUACUGCAUCAGGAAGAUGCAACUAACUCGGAUCAUGCUAUUGUCGAAUGCAUGAAAAAUCUCGCAGUCAAUAGAGUCAGCACAUUGGAACCAAAUUUGGGUGGUUCCCAUAUGUCGGAUAAUACAAGAUAUUCAGAUCAGAAGAAGAUAAUUAAAUCAGAGGUUGUUGAAGACCCUGUGUGUUAAUCUAUUAACCUGAGUACUAACGAAAUGCCACAGCUAAUUAAAAUAUAUGUUGGUAUUAGCGGUACAGAAUUGGAUGCUUAAAAAUAAUUUUUUGUUUGUCACAAAUUUGCCUUUGCAUGGUCGUAUGAGGAUUUGAAAAGAAUUCUUAUCGACGUGUGUGAGCACCAGAUUAUUCUGGAGGAGGGUGUUACGCCAGUUUGUCAAAGACAACACCGGCUUAACCCAAAAUAUUUCCUUUUAGUGAAAGAGGAAUUGGAUAAACUUCUCGACAAGGAUUUUAUUUAUCUUCUUCUACAUAGUGCAUGGGUGUCGCCAAUUGUGAUGGUACCGAAGAAGAAUGGAAAAAUCAGGAUAUGUCAAGAUUUUUGAAAGUUAAAUGCAGCCACCAAGAAAGAUUACUUUCCAUUACCUUUAACAGACAAUAUGGGUAACAUGUUGUCAUUAUCACCACUAAGUAAAAGAAUAGGAGUGGGGCACCAGUUAAAGUCAUUCUGUGGUGUUGUUUUGGGUUGGCUAGAGUGCCAUUUUCUUAUAUUUCUUGUAUUUUUGAGAGUAGUAGUUCCAAAUAAAAGUUAACAGUGAAGAAUUGGUGUCGUGUUGUAACACGAGUAUACGGUGAAAAUAUAAAGAAAGGAGACUUUUAUUAAUAUUUAGUUAUCUCAAAUAUUGGGAGCAACACCCGAUUCCACUGCCAAUAUUCAGGGGCCAGUUCAAACACCCCAUCACAGUCGGUGACGGCAUACUUACCAGUAAGAAAAUGCUCUGUUCGAGUCCAAUAGUGGUAGUCAACAGAAAUGAAAGGACUAAAUCGAUGACAGAGCGAGCCUGAUGCGAACGACCAAUUUGACCCAAUUACGGCAACAUCUAGGUCUUACUACGGGCCUCUUAGCCAAUAUGAGACCUGAAUUGGUUGGGCGACUCAAUGUGGUCCCGAUUACGGGGAUUUCGAUUCCAUUUCAGGCUGUCAUGUUCUCUGUGCCGUUUCAAAGAACGUUGUUUCUGAAAAAAAAAUCUUUUAAAAGGCAAAAAAUGAAGGAGAAAGCUCUGACAUUGGAGCCAAUUUCGGAUCCAACACGAAAGAUUGAAAAAAUUCAGAGGCUAGGAUUUGAAAGAGGGGAGAAUAAGGGUUAAAGGAGAAGAUAGGUUAAGGAAUGAGAGGAGGAGAAUCAGGAUUUUAAGGGUAGGAAAGCUAGCUUCAUGCUUCGGGGGAGAAAAAAGACAGAGAAUUGGGAUUUUUUUUCAUAGGGUUUUGAGAAGACUGAAGCAAUCAUUGCUGAAGUCAAUGAUAUACUGGUGAAUUGGGGUUUUAAUGAACUGGGUGUGAUUACUCUUGAUUGUUUUGUAAAAUCAAAGUUACGUCUGUGAUUGAAGAAUUAAAAGGGUGUCUGUAGGAUUGAGUAUGCGGAAUGAAUGAAAAUUUUUGGGUUAAUCUAAAAAGACAGUCAGUGGAUAAAAGGUCGUGAGUAUAAAGGGGUAUCGGAGAUUAGCAGAUUGGGUUGUUCGGGGUUCUUUGUAACGUCUAGAGACCUAUCGAUUGGAGCAAAAAAGGAUUUCGGCGAGCAAUCGAAGGACAUUCGUAUAGAUAUAUGAUAUAUUCUUACAAUUGUUUAUAUUCCAACAGUUAAAAACUGAUAGACUGCUUGAAUAUUAGUGAAUCUCUAUACUACCUUCCACAGCCAGACGCCCGGUGCGUUCUCGAGCAGGAAAGCACGUAAUACGACACAAGUGGUGAACUCGACGUGAAAGCUUGAGGUGGAAGAUAUUGGAUUUCAUUUGAUUUUAUUUUUAUUUUUAUGGAGAACAAAAAUAAAAAUUUUGAAGGAUCUUUGGGAGGAGUUUCUAAUGGGGGUUCUUCUAAAGGACAAGGUAUGCACAUGAAUCCGUCUAUUGCUAGUAUGUUUCAAGCCUUCUCAUUAUCAAUGCAGCAACAACAAAGCAAUGAUCGAAAAGAAGCUUUGGCAACCAAAGCAUUGCAAGCAGUGGUCAAUAAAAUUGAUCAAUUUGAUGGAAGGAAUAUUUCAAGGUAUUUAAGAUAUUAUUUUUGUGAAAUGGAAUUAAAUCAGAUUUUUGAAAAGAAAAUGGUUGAAUUAUUUGGACUUGCCACGAUACCGUAGAUAAGAGACCAUAUUACAUCGAUUACAAAUCGUUAUGGGAAUUCAUGGGAGGUUUUUUCACAUACAUUGAAAGACGAAUAUUUCUUAGGAGAUGAUGAUCAUGUUACUAAGAAGUUGUUUCUGGAAUGGAUUGAACAGCCUAAUAAGAAUUUAUAAGCAACAGAGCUACUUAGGGAAUUUGAAAGGUAGUACUCUCAAUUAUCGAAGGUAGAAAAAUUGACUUUGGAGCCGAACAAAGUUGAUCUAUUUCUUCAAGCUGCUGAUGGAGAAUUAUAAGGGAAAUUAGAACUCCUUCUUGAAGACAAAGAAGAAGAUGAAGGAUUGACAAGAAAGUAGAAGAACGUUGAAAAUGUGGUGGGGUUGGUUGCAUAAAGAGAAAGGAAGAAGGAUAGGAGCAAUAUUCCGAAAACAGAACAAGCACCCAAAGCUCCAGUACGUACAACACCACCAACAAUGCCUACAGUUCAACCUUUGACAUCCUUAUCAAAGAAGGUAGAUAUGGAAAUGGAAGAAAUUAUAUGAGGAAUGCGAGAUCUUCAAAUCAAAUUGGCAAGACUUGAAGAGAAUACUUCUACAAAUAAUUUGAAGAAUAUUUCAAAACAAGAAUAUGUACAAAGAUGCAUUUGGUGUGAUGACGCUUCAAACACUAGGAAAGAUUGCAAUGAAUUUAAAAAUAUGAUACAAUAAGGAAUUAUUUGUUGGAAAGAUGGGAAGAUAGCAUUAAAAGAUAGGGAGGAUCUUCUUCAAACCAAUUUUGGCAAGGGAGGAAUGAGAGCAUUGGUUCAAGAUUACUUAAAAGAGAAUGAAACAGCAGCACGAGAAAGUACAAAUUAUGGUGCUAGAGUAGAUGAUGACCUUGGUGGAAGUAUGGAAACUAGUGAGAUUUGGGCUUCUGCCAUUUCUACAAUAUAAGAAGGGAAAUUACCUCAAGAAGCGUUAUUGAGGACUGCAGCUACAAUACGAGGUGCAACAGGUUGGGAGGAUCCUGUUGAGUCUCUUUCAGUUCAUGCAUAUAUUGCUAAGAGCCAACAUGAAGCUUUGAUGGAAGAAAAGAGACGAGGAAAUUUUGAUGAUACUAGAGAAGGAAGUUCUUCUAAGAGACAAACUUGAGGAGACAAGGCUCGAGAAGCAGCUUCACAAAAAUUACCUGUAAAGGAUACCUCAGCAUCAUUGGAAGAAAAAACAAGGGAGACAAAAGAUAAGGGCAAAUCAAUUGCUUAUAAGCUACUUUCUGACAUUGAAGUGGCAACAAAUUUGAAAGGGGUGUUGGAAGAACGUAUAUUAAAUGCUAAGGUGGAAUUCACAUUGAAAGAAGUUUUGGGAAUUGCAAAGAAAGAAUUUCAUGAUAUUAUCAUUGACAGCAUUAAGCGAAAGAGAUAAUUAAUGGGCGAAACUGGAAUGAGUCAUGCUAUUGAUGUAAGAAUAUAUAAAGAUGAAGAAGAAGUUGAUAUUGGUUAUAAGCAACCAACAAAUGAAAAGAAUGGGUAUAAUCAAUGAGUACGUUUCGAAGAUUAUAGUGAUAAGAAAAUAGAAACUUGAGCCAUUAUACUCGAAAGCAUUGAACAAGGGUAACUAUAGAGGUAUUGGUGAAAGUAAGAGAUAUAGAAGAACCAAUUGUUGCUUUAGUCGACCAUGGUUCUGAAAUAAAUCUCAUAUCUAAAGAUCUUUAUAAGAAGCAAAAAUGGCCAAUUGAUAUGGAACAUGGAUGGGCAAUACGAAUAACUAAUAACACACGAGACGAAUUAUAUGGAGCUUAUUCAGAUGUCAAAAUUCGGAUAGGAGAUGUUGUGACGGAGCAACAUUUCUUUGUUCAAGAUACAACAUCUUAUCCAUUGAUUUUAGGACAACCUUAUAUUACAGCAACACGGAUGGAAACAAAAGUACUUGAUGAUGGUUCUGCUUGUGCAAGGAUACGUAGCAAAGAUGGGAGGAAAGCUAUACAAUUUCUAAUAGUACCUCCUAACCAUGAACGGAAUCGAGAUAGGUUGAGGGAGAAACCAUUGCUAAAGAUUGUUGAAGGAUUUAAGGAUUUUGGGGAGAUACCACUAUAAAGCGAGAUUAUGGAGGUACAAUAGAGGAGGUACUCUCGCGAGAUGAAGGUACCUUUGAUGCGAGUUUUAUUGAUAUUUUGGAGAAUGGAAAUAUUAUGUAUAAGAAAGUUGAUGAUUUUAAAAGAAAAGAAAGAAAAAGAUUAUAUGAUAUUGAAGGAGAAUUACUCAAGUUAGGUACACAGCAAGAAGAUGAAAGUGAUUUGGAUAAUGAAGGUGACAAAGAUGAACUGGACAAAAACGUAGAAAAUAUAUUCUAAAUCAAACAGCUAUUGGGUAAAUUGGUGCAUACCGGAGGAUGCACAAGUUCAGAGAGGGUGGAUGUCGUAUUGUAACACGAGUAUACCGUGAAAAUAUAAAGAAAGGGGACUUUUAUUAAUGUUUAGUUAUCUCGAAUAUUGGGAGCAACAACUGAUUCCAGUACCAAUAUUCAUGGGCCAGUUCAAAUACCCCAUCACAAUCGGUCAGGGCAUACUUACCAGUAACGAAAUGCUCCAUUUGAGUCCAAUAAUAGGAGUCAACAGAAUCGAAAGGACUAAAUCGAUGACUGAGCGAGCUUGACGUGAAGGACCAAUUUGACUCAAUUAUGGGAACAUCCAGAUCUUACUACGGGCCUCUUAGCCAAUAUGAGACCUGAAUUGGUUGGGCGUCUCAAUGUGGUCCCGAUUAUGGGGAUUUUGAUUCCGUUUCAGGCUGUCCUGUUCUCUGUGCCAUUUCAAGGAACGUUGUUUCCAAAAAAAAGAACCUUUUAAAAGGCAAAAAAUGGAGGAGAAAGCUCUGACGGUGGAGCCAAUUCUGGAUCCAAGAUGGAAGAUUGAAGAAAUUCAGAGGCUAGGGUUUGAAAGAGGAGAGAAUUAGGGUUAAAGGGGAGGAUAGGUUAAGAAAUGAGGGGAGGAGAAUCAGGAUUUUAAGGGUAGGAGAGCUAGCUUCAUGCUUCGGGGGAGAAAAAAGACAGAGAAUUGGGAUUUUUUUUCAUAGGGUUUUGAGAAGAUUGAGGCAAUCGUUACUGAAGUCAGUGUUGUACUAGUGAAUCGCAGUUUUAAUGAAGUAGGUGUGAUUACUCUUGACUGUUUUGUGAAAUCGAAGUUACGUCUGUGAUUGAAGAAUUAAAAGGGUGUCUAUAGGAUUGAGUAUGCGGAAUGAAUGAAAAUUUUUGGAUUAAUCUAACAAGAGAGUCAGUGGAUACAAGAUCGUGAGUAUAAAGCGAUAUCAGAGAUUAGCAAAUUGGAUUGUUCCAGGUUCUUUGUAACGUCUAGAGACCUACCGACUAGGCAAAAAAGGAUUUCGGUGAACAAUCGAAGGAUCCGUAUAGAUUUAUGGUAUAUUCUUAUAAUUGUUUAUAUUCCAACAGUCAAAAACUAAUAGACUGCUUGAAUAUUAGCGAAUCUCUAUACUACCUUCUACAGCCAGACGCCCGGUGCAUUCUCGAGCAAAAAAGUACGUAAUACGACACUUGUCAUGAGUGUCGAUUGAAGAAGUUCAAGAAGAGAGGAGUCACUUUCAACACCAGUUGGAACUUUGGGAUGCCCAGAUCCUGAAAAUGGAAGCUCAAGUCCGUGAACUAGGCAAGUACAAUGAAGACCUUUCAGCUCAAUUGAGGCAAGAGCCAAUGGAAGGAUUGGAAGAGGAUGAAGAUUUGUAGUUGGAACCGAAAUCGGUGGAACCAAUAACAGAUACUUUGGCAAUUGAUUAAUUAGGUAGGCCAGAGGAACUAGUUACUUUGUGGAGAUUUGUUAAGUAGUUUUUAGAUAGGUAUCAAUUGAGUGUUUGCGAGGAUGCUGCUCAGUUAAGAGUGGGGCUAUGUAGAAUAAGUAGUUAUUUUUAGAAUAUAGAUAUCUACUGUAUAGUGGAAACAAGGAUAGAUAACUGUUGAAAAGGUGGUUCAACACGUAGAAUGGAUGAAUAGUCAAGAAAAGUAGUUAUCAUCUGUAGUAUAGGAGUUGGUAUCUCGGGAUAGUAUAGGGAGGAUGGAAGAGGGGAAGAAAAUACCAAACUGUGAGAGUUGUAAGCCAAAGGCCAGACUGUGAGAAUCAUAAGCCGAGGGCCAUCGCUGUGAUAGUAUGAGCCGAGGUAAGCUUAGUGCUACCUCUUUUCUUUUGUUUGUUAUUUUCUUUGAAUAAGAGGAUUGAGAGUUUCUGAAUAUUGUGAAGUGAAUUAUGGAAUGGAAAUGUGAUUGAUAUUAUUUGAAAAGAAGAAAGAUUGAAUGUUGAAAUCUGAUUGUAGUUCAACAGAGAGAAUGAGUUUGUGUUUGUGUGAAACACUAUAAUGUGAAUGGUAGUUCUGUGUGAAGAAUUCCAGUGAUUGGAACGAGGGUAAUUGUGUGUUGAAAGUUGUGAGGGCGUAGUAUUACAGUUGGAGAUUAUGAGGGUGAAUAUAUUGAUAGAAAUAGCAAUUAUUGGUAUGACUGAAUUGCUAUAAGGAAGAGACCGAUAAGGUGAAGGAGGAGAUUAUAGUUUUCUUAUGAAUUCAGAUAUUGGAAAUAGAGAUGAUACAUUCAGGAGGUAAUUGAUUGUAUGACCCUAACAAGAACGCUUAAGCAACUAGUCAUUUCCCGUGUUCGAAUCCUCCUAUACGGGUUUAUUCUGGGAGGUUUCUUCCGGAAUAAGUAAAACGAGCAAUCACACAUAUAUUGUAUAAAUCUUGUAAAGAAAAGAGUUGGAGAGGAAUUUUGAUAGUAAUAAAAGUUAGAGAAGACAUCCAUAUGAAUGAAUGGAGAUGGAUGAUAUAAAUCUCCAUUUUUAUUCGUCAAAAAUCAUAACCAAUGGGCUUCAAGGAGGCUGAUUGAGGCCAUAUUAGGAAUUAGGCUUGCACUUUGGAGCUAUUUGAGCUUUUGGAGGCUAGGAUCAGCGGAUUCAAGUUUUUUGCUAUGGUUUUGAUGCAAAUUUUGAGUGAAUUGGAGUUUUUAUGAAGGAGAUAUAGGUGCUCAAAGUCAAGGUGUCAAUUUUGUACCUACUGUCACUCUUUUGCAUAUAACACACGCGUAUGGAAAGCAACAAAGUAUCAAUGAUUCGAAUUGGAGAGAACACUUCCUUAACUAUAAUUUUGACAUAUUUUUUGAUGGAUUUCAAGUUGGAAUAAAGGAGAUAUUGGAGGUUGAAAUCAGUACUUAUAUAUCAAGAAAUAUUAAUAUCUAAAUUUUAAGAAGAAAAAAAUCUUUGCAUGAAAAAAAAAAAAAAAAAAAAAAAAAAAAAAAAAAAAAAAUUGAAGGUAUUUUAUUAUAACUUGAGCAUUUCUUACAAAAUAAAGGAGUUUUUUUAGAAGUCAAGACUUUAUAUAUAUGUUGAAGAUGGAUAUAUGGAGCAAUGAUUAAAUUUUGAUAUAAAGAUAAGUUUUUGAGAGGAGAUUAUAGAUUUUCUUUGGAAUUAUUGAAAAUCUAAUUUACCAACAAAUGGUUAGUUAUGAUUUGGUAUAAUCAAGAAUAUUAGGAAAUUCUAAGAUAUUUUAGAAAGCCUUAAAUACAAACCUUUUUAAAUAUAAAAGAUUUUACUAAUACGAUAUCUUUUUAAUAUUGUAGUAUUUAUUUAUCUUCCACUUUAAAGGUUAAAUAAUUUAUUAGAGAUUGGCCAAUAAGUUAAAACUAAACUCUUUACAAUUAUGUAUCAAUGUAUUCUUAGAUAAAAAACCACACAUUACAACAAUGUGGAAUUGAAUUUAUUCUUUAUAAUAGGCAUCUAUGUUGGUCUUUUAUUCUUCUUGAGCUUCUUUUAAUUGUACCUUUAUUAUUAUAUAUAGCUCACAUAAACAUUUUGUUAAUUCUUCUAUUGUAAGGAUAUCAACUAUUGUAAAAUCAAAAGCAUCAAAUUGUGGAUAAUAACCAUAAUUGACAAAAAAAUAUAUUUAUUUUAUAGAUGAAUAUAUCAUAUUAUAUUAAGCAAACUUUACUAAUAGCAAAAGAGUUGUCCAAUCAUCUUAUUGACAGUUGAUAGCCUACCUCAAAUACUAUUUUAAAACUUCAUUUAUUUACUUCAUUUGUCUAUCAAUUUGAAGAUGAAAAGCCAAAGAUAAUUUUACAUCUUUCUUUAAAAUCUUGAAAAAAAAUUUCUAAAAUCUUGAUAUAAAUUGAAUUUUCUUAUCUGAUAUAAUAUCCUUGAUAGUGAUAGAUAUUAUUAAACAAAAACUUGGUUGUUUUUUUAUCUAUAAUAGAUUUUAUAAAAUUAUUCUUUAAUGAUCAAAAGUUGCAUAUCUAUCUUUUUUUGUAAGAUAAGAAUAUCUAAAAAGGGCAUAUAAUAAAGUUUAUUAUUUUUUAUAGGUCAAUAAAUAAUUUAAAAAUCAAAUCUUGAUUAAGAUAUACUCAAUGGACUUGAAAAUAAUUCAAAACAUGUGCUAACAUAAAAUACUCAAGGCUUUAGUGAUUUAUAUAUAAGAUGAUUUGAUUGGAAGCACCUUCUAGAUAUUAAUGCUAUUCUUAAAACAAAUCUAUAAUUACAAAAAGUUCUUUGUUAUGGAUUUCAUAGUUAAUCUUGAUGUCUAAAACUUUCUUAGAAUAAAAAAACUAUUAGAUGGAGCUUAUCAUGUGUUCUUAUUUAUGACAAUAUUACAACUAUUGCAAAGUAUGAUGCAUUUAUUUUCAUCAAAAAUGCCUUAAAAAACUUGACAUAAUAUUAUAUUAGUAUAAAAAUAAAUAUUAUUAUAAAGGCUUCUAAAUAUAUUUUUAUUUUUUUUUCUAUUCAAGUUUUUUUUAAUAAAUAAAAUAUAAAAAAAGAGCCACAAUUUGAGAAAGGUUUUUUAAUGAAGAUCUAAUAAUAAUUGACAAAUCUCAAGAAACAUUACACAUCUUUAACUAUUUUUGAGAUCUUCUAAUCUAUGAUAGUAUAGACCUUUUUAGGAUCCAUCAUAAGGCCAUUGUUUGAAAUGAUGUAUCUUAAGAAGUCAACUUGAAUAGUGUAAAAUAUACACUUUUUAAUUUUGAUAUAUAAGCUUGUAUCUCUCAAUUUUAGUGCUGCACAACAUACAUAAAAUUUAUAUUCUUUGGUAUUCUUAGAAUAGAUUGAAAUAUUCUUUGAAUAAUAAACAACAAAGUUAUCAAGAAGCUCACAAAAGACAUUAUUCAUUAGAUGUUGAAAAGAAAUUGGUACAUUCAUGAGUUCAAAAAUCAUAAUAUUAUAUUCAAAAUAUCUAUAUUUGAUUCAAAUUCUAGUUUUUUAUUUAAUUCUUUUUUUAAUGCAUAUCAGAUUAUAUGCUCUAUAUAGAUGUAUUUUUCUAUAAAUUUUUUCUUAAUUUAAUUAAUCAAGAAGUUUUAAAAUCAAAAAUAGAAGAUACCUAUUUUUGAUGGAAAUCUUCUUAAAUCCUUGAUAGUUCACUUAGAUCUAUAAUGAUUUGUAUUUUUUAAUUAAAAAUAAGAUAGAAGUCUUUAUUGGAGAUUUUUUAUGGCAUAUGAAGUUCUUAGCUUAGUAUCUUAAAAUUUGAAAAAAAAAAAAUAUUUGAAUGAAGAGAUACAAAUUUCUAAAAUUUAAAGAAAAAAAUUCUUUGCAGAAGAAAAAUAUUUUAAAAGGAUUUUGCUACAAUUUGAUUAUUUUAUGUAAAGUAAAGGAAUUUUAGAAGCUAAGACUUUAUGUAUACAUUAAAGAUAGAAAUAUAGAGCUAUGGCAAAAUUAUGAUAUAAAUAUGCAUUUUUAUAUAGAGAUUAUAGAUUUUCUUUGAAUUUAUUAGAAAUCAAGCUUAUUAACAAAUGAUUUAGUUAUGACUUGAUAUAACAAAGGAUGUUAGGGCAUUUUUAAAUACUUUAGAAAGCCUUAUGUAUAGAAUUUUUUUAAUAUAAAAGAAUUUUAUCAAUAGUAUAUCUUUUAAUAUUAUUAUAUUUAUUUGGCAUCUAUAAUAAGAAUACGUAAUUUAUUAGAAAUUUUCUAAUAAGUUAAAGCUAAACUCUCUAUAGCUAAGUACUUAAUAUAUUCAUAGAUAUAAAACCACGCAAUAUGACAAAGAUCCUUAUGACAAGUGGCAAAAUUUGUUUUGUUACACAUCAUCUUUUUUGGUAAUUAUUAUCUUUAUUCUAUAAUUAUAUUCUUUUUUUGGAAAAUAUUAAAGAAUAUUUUUAAGUUCUCUUCAUUAUAAGCAUACUCUUACUUAAUGACGUCAAAUCUUUUUUUUCUCAAUAAGAAAUUUAAAAUACACCAAAUCAAUUUGUACAUAUUGUAGCCUUGAUGAAUAAGCUUCUAAAAACUUAGAAUUUGUUGCCAUGACUUGUAUUAUGUCUUUUAAUUAAAACCUUCUUUUUUAGAAUCUUUCAAAGAAUCUAUUUUUACAUGCAAUAGCUUGAGCAAUAAAUUGUUCUAAUGAAUUUACUCUUGGCAUUGUCAAUAAUAAAACUUUAAUAUUAUCUUUGAAUUCAUAUCAAAGUUUUAAAAUUCAUUACCUUUAUAUAUUUAGUCUCUACUAUUUUUUUUCAAUCACUUUCUACAAAAGUAGCUAUAAAGACUUCUAAGAAUGAAUUCAAAUCAUAAAAAGUUGUGAAUCCUUUUUCAACAAAGAUACAAAUUAAGAGAAAGUACUUUCAAAUAAAAGUCCAUCUAUAAAUCUAACUUGAAUAAAUUUAUUAAGAUAUUAAAAUAGAUGAAAUCUUAUGUAGGGCUUCACUUGUUAUAAAAAUCUUCGAAACUUUGAUCUUGUUCUAUCAAAAUUCUUUGCCAUUCUUAUAUUUGUCUCCAUACUUAUUCAAGCAAGACUUCUUGCAUUCAAUUAUAAACUUGAUCUACUUGUUUCUUUCAAUUCUAUAAUUUUUUGAUGUAGAGUCUAAAGUUCAUUAUUGAUUUCUUUUAUGAACAUAGAAGUAGUACCUCCAUAGUUUAUAUAAGAAAUAUGUCAGCUUUUAAGCUAAGAAUAUUGGCAUACUUGUAAAGAUCUACAAUAGUUAUAAAAUUAUUCUUACUUUUAUUAUAAAUAGCAUCAAUAAAAAAAAUUCUAUGGACAAUUCAAAUAAAAUCACAAUUCAAAUUAAAAGAAGAUAAUUUGUAACUUCUAAUACCAAAUGAAAAUUUCUACAAAGAAGGAUAUUCUACUCUCUUUAAAAAAAAUAAUUAGUAUUUAGAUAACUAAAUUUCUAGUUUAAAAGUAGAUAGUUUGUAAUCUUCAAAAUACAAUAGUAGAAAGAAAUAAUCUACUUACUUCUAAAUAAAAUAAUAAUAAUAAAUUAUCUCUUUUAUCAAAUUGUCAAAGAUAAAUUUCAAAAAACUAAAAUAUUAAUAAAUUUUUAUGUCAUUCAAAAAGACUAAAAAAUUCUUCAAAUAUUAUAUAAUAUUGAAUCAAAAUGACUGUUAUCAAAGAUAAAAGGACUAAAAAGUCUUAAAAUAAGAUUAAAAAUUAAAAAAAGAUUGACAAUAGUGAGGAAGACUCUACUCUUAUCUUUAUACAUACUAUUUAAUCAAGAGUUAUAUGGCGAUGUUCUCUAAGAUCUCCAAUACAUGUCUAAUUUGUAAAAAACAUAUCUUAUCUUGAAAGGCAAGUUUUUUAUAUGUGCACUACAUCAUUAGCUUGUAUUAUAAGCUAUCCAUAUUUGCAACAUAUAACUAAUUUGUUAGCAAAGUUUCUAACCUAUCAAUUAAUUAUAAACAUAUAUGAAAUCAAAUAUGUAUCUAUGAAGCUUCUAAGAAUCUAUAGUUCAAGAUAAUAUUAAAUCUAUCUAUAUUUAUUUUCUACCUAAUAUUUCUUAUCUAGAUAAAUAUUAUUGUCCAUAAUAGUCAAUUAUUUGGUGUCAUCUUAUGGGACCAUUAUGUGAUGCUUGAAUCAAUUUAUUUUGUUAAAUUGCUAGGAUAUAUAAUUUGAUAAUACAAUCUAUUGUGAGUAUUUACAUCUUAUCAUCAAAAUAUAUAUAUGGCAAUGUUUUGUGUUCCAAAUUGUGACAACAUUAUCUCACGAGUAUUUAUAGGGUUUGUCUAAUAAUAAGAUAUUUAUCAUACAUAAAAUUAUUUAUAAAUAAUAUUACAUCCAUAGCAUUAUAUAAAUCAAUAUGAGUCUCAGAAUGAUUUUUUCAUAUACAAAUCCAAUAUAAAACUAGAUUUUCUUAAGAAGUAAUUUGUGAUUAUGUUUUAUUUUUAAAAAAUAUAAAAAAAAUUAAAAUUAUAUUCCAUGAGAAAUAUUACCUAUCUUGUUAUUUGACUAGUAAUCAUAUCUUAUUUUAUUAAAUAGAAUAAUACAUGAUUAUCAAUAAUAAAUUAAAAUCUAUUUUUAAGUAAAUAAUACUUAUAUUUUUUUUAUAGCAUAGACCAUUACUAGGACUUUGAAUUCUAUGGUUGAAUAAGUUUCUUUACUUUUAUUUAAUCUUUGACUUAUACAUAAUAUAGGUUUAUUUAUUUUUUCUUAUAUGAUUUUACAUAAACAUCACUCCAAAGGCAACAUUUGAGGCAUUAAUAUAUACGUAAAAUAAAAAUUUCUAAUUGAAUGCUAAUAAUAUUGGAUAAUUUAUAUAUUCAUAUUCAAUUUCUUGAAAAGUUUUAGUGGUUGUUAAGUUCCAAUGAAGCUCAUAUAUAAACUUAGGUUUAUUAAAUUUUGAUGAAGAAGAAAUUAGAUGUACUUAAUUCUUUAUUAAGGUCUUAUUGAAUUGAAUAAUCUCAAGUAUACUUUAUAUUUUUUUAUAUUAUAUGACUUGGACAUGUUUUGGAUUUGUUUUAUUUUCUUUAGAUCCAAAAACUUAAAUAACAAACAAUAUAUAUGAAUAUGAGUCUAGAGAGAGGAAAAAAAAAUAAAAAAUAAAACAAAAAAAAAUAAAACAAAAAAUAAAAUAUAAAAUAUAAAAUAACAUGCAUUUAUUGUUACAAAUAUAUAUAUAUAUAUAUAUAUAUAUAUAUAUAUAUAUAUAUAUAUAUAUAUUAUAAUUAUUAUCUUUAUAAUAUAAAUAGGUAGAAGUAGGUAAAAGUAGAUUAAUUUCAUAAUACCUUCUAGAAAAGCUUCCUAAAAGCUUCUUAGACUCUAUUUUGAUUUACAUGUAUUUGUAGUUGAUUGAUAGAUUAGAAACUUGAUCAACAAGCUAACUAUGUUCUACAUGUAUUGAUAGCUUGUAGAAUAAACUAACUAUGUAGUACCCAUAUAGAAAACUUACCUUAUAAGUUAAGAUAUGUAUCAUGUAAAGUCAACACAUUUUAGACGUCUUAUAGAACAUCACUACAUAGAUUCUAUGUAGAUAUUAUAUAUAGAGGCAAGAGUGAAGUCUUUUUUAUUCUUUUCAACUCCUUUCUUGCUUCUAAUCUAAUUUUAAGAGUUUCUAAUUUCUUUAUCUUUUGGCAAUAGCCAUUCCAGUUUCUUUUUUAAUAUACAUACUUCUCUAUUUUUAUUUUGUCAUAUUUCUUUCAGAGAGCAUCAUUUGAUUAUUUUCUUUCAUCAAAUUCUUAUCCUUAAUAUAUUGAAAAGAAUAUACUUAUAAUAUCAUAGCUUUAUAUUUUCUUAAUUAAAAAUAGAUUACUUCUUUUUCUUGAUAAGACUUAAGCAUAAUAAGAAUUUUAGAUUAUCCUCUUUUAAAUUGAUAUUAUUCUUUGUUUUAAGUCUUUUCUUAUAUUUAUCUUCAAUGAUAUCAAACAUCUUUCCUUUUUUAAGUAUUAUCAUAAUAGAGCUUUUCAAAAUAAAGAGUAUAAUGAUACAAAUGUAAGAGUAAUUGAGGGAGUUAAUGCUUGCAAUGUAUCAAUUCAAUUUAUUGCCACAAUAAGCAAUAAAAAUGACAAAGAACAAAGAUAUAGAGAUGAUUGGAGCCGCUUCAAUAUUUGUACUAAAUCAUGUCUCUUUUUCUAUAAUAGAACAUCCUUCUAAUAUUAAAAAAUCAAGCGUUGUAUUACUCAAGAAGUUUGAUAUUACAAGAUCUAAGUUUUAAGGAUUUAUUAAUGAGGUAUAAUUUAUAAUUGAACUUCAAUUCUAAAGCUAUCCAACUUUAAGAUUGCAAGUUAGAUUUAAUAGUACAUUCCUUUCAAGUUUAGUAUUAUCAUAGUUUUCAUCUUUUCUUGAACAAUAAGAUCCAAUAUUAAAUAAUUUGGAGGCUUUUUUGGUGGAAUUUUGAUCCAUAUAUGGAGAACAUGAUGUAAUUUGUAUUGCAAUUAAUAAGAUUUGUGUUUUGUAAUAAGUCAAUCAAUUGACAAUGUUAUAUGCUUUAUUAUUUUGACAACUUGCAAUUAAUAUCAAAUAAGAUGAUGCUACAUUUAUUAACCAAUUUUUCUACAAAUUACAAUAUAAGGUAAAAAAAAUGAUUACAUAAUCUUUAAACAUUGAAUCAAGUAAUUAACUUUGUUGUGAGGUGUGACAAUCAACUUUUUGAAUUUUGAUCUAAGAGUCAUACAAGUACAUCUCAAUAUUAUUAUAAAUUAAUAACAAUACCAACAUCUUUAUAAUAUAUAUAUUUAAAAGUAAAAGAUAUGUAAAUUGAUGUAGUAUAUUUUAAAUCAAUUAUUGAGCAAGAAAAGAUUUAUUAUCAUUAGAAAGGAUUAUGCUUAUAUUAUGGAAAGUCUAAGUAUGGUGCUCAAUAUUAUCCAAAGAAGCAACAAAAUUAUAAAAUAAAAAGUAUGGUUGUCAAAAAAGACAGUAUGUUAGAAAAUAAGUUUAUUUAGCUACAAUAGAAACCAUGCAGUUGGAAUCUUAUACAAUACCUAGUGAAGGUCUUAUUUUUCCUUAGAACCCUCUCCUUAGUUUAUAAUAAAUAUUAUUUUAAGACCUAAACAUCAUAAAGCCUCUAUCUUGUUAGAUUGAGGAAGCUGAGCAUAUUUCUUAGAUGAAGAAUUUGCUAAAAGACAUAGCAUAUCUUUAGUGAAGAAAACUAAACUUAUUCACAUAGAAGUCAUAGAUAGUUGUCUAUUGUCUUCAAAAAAUCUUAAUCAUAAAAUUCUUCUUAUACAAGUAACAACUAAUGGUCAUAGUACCCUGUAAUAUUUAAUAUUAUUAAAUCUCCUUCUAAUCGAAUUAUUUUAGAUUUAUCAUAGCUAAAAAAUAUAAUCCAAAAAUAGAUUAGAUUUCUCAUAGUCUUGACUUUUUUAAAAGUAUAAUUAAGAAUAUACUUGAUCAAGUAAAAAGUCAUAAGUCUAGUGCAAUUAAACUUGUAUUUAUAAGUGCAAGAACUUUUUUGCAUGUUACAAAAGAAGGAUUAUCUUAUAUCAUUUAUUCUGCACUUGUUUUUGAAAGUGGAAAGACUUCAAGUAGCAUUUUAAGCUAAUAUUAAGAUUUUUAAGAUAUAUCUGUAGAAAAAAAAAAAAAAAAAAAAAAAGAUACUCUAUCACAACAUCAUUCCAAUGAUUACUCAAUUGACCUUCAAGAAAGAGCUCAAUCAUUAUUUAGACCAAUUUACAAUUUAUCACAAAAUGACUUAACUGAAUUCAUAGAGUAUAUUAAAGAAAAAUUGAGCAAGAAUUUCAUAUGUUAUUCCAAAUCUCCAACAAAAGCUCUAUUUUUAUUUGUAAUAAAAAUUAUGAAUCAUUAUAAAUGAAUAUAAAUUAUUGAGGAGUCAAUGAAAUCAUCAUCAAAAAUAGGUAUCCGCUACCUUUCAUAUCUAGAGUUCUUGAUUUGUUGAAUGAAGCUAAGAUCUAUACAAAAAUAGAUCUAUACAGACCAUACAAUCUAAUACACAUCAAAAAAGAGAUGAGUAGAAGACUAUAUUUUGAACAAGAUAUGAACAUUUUGAAUACAAUAUCAUACCUUUUGGACUUACAAAUGCAUCAAUAGCUUUCUAACAUCUAAUAAAUGAUGUUUCCUAAAAUUUUUUAAAUGAAUUUGUUAUCUAUUACCUAGACAACAUCUUGAUUUAUUUUAAGAAUAUAGAAGUAUAUGAACUUUAUAUUUGUUGUAUGUUACAAAAACUAAGAGAUGUACAAUUCCAUACAAAGAUAGUAAAGUGUGUAUUCCACACUACUUAUGUUAACUUCUAAGCAUACAUCAUUUCAAAUGAUGGACUUAUGAUAGAUCCUAAGAAAUUUCAAACUAUUAUGAAUUAGAGGAUUUCAAAAAUGGUAAGAAAUAUCCAAUAUUUUUUAGAAUUUUUUAAUUACUAUUAAAUCUUUAUCAAAAACUUCUUUAAAUUUAUAGCUCCACUUACACAUUUGACUUAUAGAGACAAACUUCAAUCAAAUCAAGAAGCAAAAGCAGCAUUUGAAGCUUUAAAGACAACCUUUAUUUUUGUACCAAACUUGUAUUGCAUCGACUUUUUUAAGCCAAUUUUCAUGAAAAUAGAUGCACCAAAUUUUGGUUUAAGUAUUAUAUUAUCACAAAUAGAAAAAGAUGAUAAACUUCAUCGAAUAACUUUUUAUUUAAAAAAAUCUUCAAUAGACAAAUUCAACUACAAGAUUCACAACAAAAAAUUUCUUGCAAUUGUGGAUUUAUUUUAAAAAUAGUGUCAUUAUAUAGAGGGACUUUUAAUCUUAUCAUUGUUUAUAUUGAAUAUAAAAAUUUUGAAUAUUUUAUGUCAGUAUGUAUUUUGAAUCGUUGCCAAGCUAUUGGAGUAUGUCUUUAUGAAGAUUUGAUUUAAGAUCACUUAUUGAUCCAAAAAAAAAUAAUAUUUAUCAGAUGUCAUUUCUAAAUGUUCUUAUUUUGGACCAAAAAAGAAAGAUACAUCUUUUGAUUAACAAAAAAUGAUUCUCUUGAAGCUGGAGCAUUUUCAUCUUCAAGCAAUAAAAUCAACAUUGACUAUUGAUUCAAUCCUUAUCAAGAAAAUUUAAUCAAAUAUGUCCUUUGAUUUUCUUUUUUAUGAUAUUAAAAAUUCUUCUUCUAAGUCUCAUGAUGCUUUUAAGUUUGAGUUCAAAAAAAAUCCUAUUCUAUUGUAAAAGAUACCUAUAUAUUUCAAAAAAAGAUGCAUAAUUAUGUAUUCUUCAAGCACAUCAUGACUUUUUAAUAGCCACACAUUUUGGAUACAAUAAGUCUUUAGAAUUUAUAUCCAAAUAUUUUUAGUGGCAAAAAAAGUGGAAGGUAGUAAAAGACUUUGUCUAGUCAUGUGAAAUUUGUUUAAAGUCAAGAAUUCUUUGUCAUCAACUUUAUAGACUUUUCCAACCAUUAUCCAUUUUAGAACAAUCAUAGUCUUUUGUUUCUAUGGAUUUUAUCACAAAUCUUCCAAUCUUGUAUUCUUAUGACUCUAUAUUUAUAAUAGUAAAUCAUUUCACGAAGAUUGCACAUUUUGUAUCAUGUAAAAAAACUAUCAUAGGUGAAGAAAUAGCCAAUCUUUGCUUUGGCAACAUCUAUUACUAUCAUGGAUUGCCUAAAGAUAUUAUAUUAAAUAGGGCAACUCAGUUUAUAUUAAGAUUUUGAAGAAUACUUUUUAAGAUUCUAAAAGUAAACAUAAAACUAUCGUCAACUUUCUAUCUUCAAAUUGAUGAAGAUAUAGAGCAUAUAAAUGAAGUUUUAGAGCAGUAUUUGAGGUAUACUAUCAACUACCAACAAGAUGAUUUGACAACUCUUUUACCAAUAGUAGAUUUUUCUUAUAAUGAUAUAAUAUAUUUUUCUAUGUAAAAAGUAUUAUUUUUUGCUAAUUAUGGAUAUCAUCUAUAAUUUGAUACUUUUGAUUUUUUAAUACUUAAUAAUCUUUUAGUAGAAGAUUUGAUAAAUUAUUUAUUUGAGCUACAUACAAUAAUGAAGGUGUGACUAAAAGAGGCUCAAAUACAAUAAAAGAGCUAUGCAAAUUCUUAUCACAAGGAAUAAUCUUAUUUUUACGUUGGUGAUAAGAUAUGAUUACUAUGUCUUAAUAUUAAAACUAUUUGUUUUUAUGAGAAGUUAGAUUAUUAUAGACUUGGACUAUUUUCUAUUUGAGAACAAGUCAAUCCAAUUGCUUAUCAAUUACAUCUACUAAAAUCUAUGAAAAUCCAUCCUAUAUUUCAUGUGUUGCUUUUACAGCCAUAUAAAAUAAUAAAUAUCUCAAAAAGAAGAUAAAUACCAUUGCUUCUUAUAGAAGUGGAUAAUAAUUAAGAAUUCAAGGUGAAAGAAGUCUUAGAUUUAAAGUAAUGCCGACAUAAGUUAGGAUAUCUUAUUCAUUAGUAUGGAUUUGAUAUUAGCAAACAGAUAUGUGAAUAAACAAAAAAUCUUACAAAUAUAGCAAAGAAGGUCAAAGCUUUUCAUCAACAACAUCUAUCAAAACUAGAAUGAAGGAUAGCAAACCUUUGCUUUAAAAGAAAUACAAUUUAGAAAAGAUUACAUUCUAUCUUCUAUCUUUGUUUGUAGUUUUUGUAUAAUUGUGGCAUUAAAGAGAUAGAGAACUAUUAGCCAAUAGAUUCAAUUCAAGAACCAUUAUUUGCUGACUUAUCAAAGAAGACAUUAUGAUUAUCAUAGCCUUCAAGAUGAAGUAAUAGAAAUAAAGACCUUCAAGAAGAAAUAUUCUUCCUUGAAUAGAUGAAAAGAUACAAUGCAUUUGGUAUCACAAUUUGAAAGGAGACUCUCAAUGUUUGGUGAUUUUAUAGGAAGUAGGAAUGACUCUUGAUAGUGUUAUAAAUAUUUUAUUUGAAAGAAGUUAUAAAGAUUUUAACAAUGAUAAAAUAAUAAGGUAGUCUUCUCACCUUGAAAUGGAACAUUAUUAAUGGCUAAGAGAACCUAUCAACUAUCUUCAAAGGAAACAAAGAUCAAAGUAUGUAAUAAAUAUAAUUUGCCGCAUCUCAGACUUCCUCAACAUGUGAUUACCAUUCUAUAUAGAACUUGUUUCUAAAAAGGGACAUAAUGUCACACAUAUAUAUUUAUUAUAAUUUUUAUCUAGAUAAUUUGAAUAGGUAGAAGUAAGUAGAAAUAGAUUAAUUUCAUAAUACCUUUUAGAGAAGUUUUUUAGACUUUGUUUUAACUUUACAUGAUUUUAUAAUUGAUUAGUAGGUUAAAAACUUAAUCAACAAGCUAACCACAUGUCACAUGUAUUGAUAGCUUACAAAACAACCUAACUAUUUGGCAUCCAUAUAGCCAUUCUAAUUUUUUUUUUAAUAUACAUACAUCCUUAUUUCUAUUUUGUCAUAUUUCUUUCAGAGAGCCUUAUUUAAUUAUUUUCUUUCAUCAAGUUCUUGUCCUUGAAAUUUAUCUAUUUUAAGGUUGAUGCCAUAUUUUUGAUAAGCUUCAAAGUUUUGCCACAAAUAUUAGAUGUGCUUUUUUUAGGUCCGUAGAUGGUCCUAUUAUCAAAGUAUAUUUUAAAGAAUAAUGAUCAUUUUUUGUAGUAGUGUUAAGCUUACAAAAAUCUAUUUAAACUUAUAGAGCUUUUGAUUUUUUUAGGAUAAUCACUAUACAUGACAACUAUAGAAUAAAAUCGAUGGAAAACACUAAUUUGGCUUAUAAGAGUUUGUCCAACUUCUACUUCACAAUUUGCAUGUAAUUAGAAUUCAUUUGAUAAUAUCCUUGUUGAAUUGAUGUGAUAUUUUGAAUAAGAUUAAUCUCAUGCUUUGCUAUCUUUGUAAAUAUUCUUCUUAAAUCCUUAUAUGACUAUAUAAAUAUGUAUUGAUAUUUAUAUAAUAGUGCAAUUGCGGUGGUUUUUAUAUCAUUAGAUGCAUUGGCAUUUAUUUUUACAUGCUUGGAUUUUGAGGAUGUCCUUAGAAUAAGGAGUUUUUUUUUUUUUUUGGAUUAUGCAACUACUUCUUAAUUAAUUUUUCUUCAAAUUUGAUAUAUUUUAAUUAUUUAUUAAUGAUUUUAUAGUCUUAGAACUUAACAAUAAAUUUUACAAGUAUGUCCAAUUAUUCAUUAAUAACAACGUUGUCUAAAAACUUAAUAAUAAAUUUUAUAAGUAUGUACAAUCAUUCAUUAAUUUUUAAGUUUGCAAGAUUCAUUUCUAUGACAAGAAUCAAGUGGAGUUCUAAUACAAAUACUAAUACUUCUUAAUUGAAGCUCAAUUUAACAAAUUAAUUAUUGUGCAUAAUUUUUUAAAUUAUCAAGAUUUUUUUCUUGAGUUACACAUCAAUCAACAUAAAUAUGCAUGUAUUGAUGUUGUAGUAAAUAGUUAUUUUAUUGUUUAACCAAUUAUAAGAUGCAUUAAUAUUUUGCAUCUAUUGUCUUUCUAAAAUAAUUAAAAAGUGACUCUUGUUGGAUAUCUCAUAUAUUGAAAAAAUAAUUGGUGCUUCAAUCUCUUAGAUUAUAAUAAUUAUAUUCUACAAUAUCCCAAAGAGCUUAACAAAAGCAUCAUUUGUUAUAUAAAGUAUGAAUGAAGCCACUUCAAACUUAGAAAGUUUGAAAAACUUAUAAAUAUGAUUUGUCGUGACAUUAAUUUUAAAUCUUCUAUCCACGAGUACAUUAAUUAGUUGAUAAUUUUUAAUACAAAUUUUGAUCAUUAUGGCAUCAAGAUCUAUUAUUGCAGCAUUUUAGAUUACAACUACUUACAAUAAUAAUUUAAAACAUAGCUGUCACGGACAUACACAUGUAAGCCAAAAAUUACCUGUACAAAUAUGUAGAAGUAAGUAGAAGUAGAUAAAAGCAAGUUAAUUCAAAAAUAUCUUCUAUAGAACCUUCCAAGCAGCUUUAUAGAUACAGCUUUGACUUUAAAGGUGUCUUUAAUUGACUUUUUGAGUUACAAACGUGGUCAACAAGUUGACCAUGUACCAGCCAUGUUAUUAGCUUGAAGACCAAGCUAACUAUGUGGUCCACAUGUAGAAAAAAUUGCCUUGUAAGUCAAGGCAUGUGUCCUGCAAAAUCAACACAUAUUGGAGGUCCUAUAGAACAUCACCGCGUUGUCGGGGUAGAGAGAGUUUGCCUCAAAAAAACGUUGGGCUUUUGGCUCUCACUAAUUAUUCAAUUAAGCUUAAAAAUAAGGAAAGCCCUAAAUUUAUAUAUAAAUUUUCCCUUUUUGAGCAAUUACACCAAAUACACAAGCCUCAAGUAACCAACAACAUCCAAAAUAUGAUAAAAUCCUCUAAAACCUUGUAUAUUCUUAUGUGGAGAUUUUUCCGAAAUUGAACAUCUCAUAUCUUCUAAUCCGACCAUCCAAACAAACUCAAAUUUCACAUGAGGUACUGAUGUAUUCUUAUUAACUUCUACAACAAUUUUCAACUGCAAAUUCAUUGUAAAACUUGAGAUAUCUUAAAAACCCUAACAGCUGCUUCAAACCCUUGUCUUUAUAUACCCGCGUACAAUUUUCUUCAUAUCUCACAAAAUAUAAGCUCAAAUGCUACGAAAUUUAUAUAUAUAGCUUCUUAACACAAAAAGUUUGAGCCAUAAGUUCGUCCAAAUACUCAAGUUAUGGCUCCAACCAUUACUACAAAUAAAACCGCUUACUUACUGCCUUUGAUUUGAAAGCGCUACCUUCAAUUCCUUAUAACUCCUUCAUAUAAACUCCAAAAGCAAUGAUUCUUUCAUAAAAGAUGUAGACCUUAAAAUUGCCGUUCUAGUCGCACCUUCUGAUCUUUAAAAAUUGCUGUAAAACUCCUCGUAUCCUCAAAAAAGUAACAAUGUAUCUUAAAUUAAUACCUUAACUUUAAAUGGCUAUAAUUUCUUCACCCUAAUUCCAAAUCCUCUAAUUUUUGCACACAAAUUGUAUUCCAAAUCCUAAAAUUUACAACCCUAGCUUGUAACCUCCAAAUAACUUCGAAAGAGAAAUCCUAAUCCCUAAUAAGGCCUCGAGCAACCUCCUUGAAGCCCAUUGGACAUGGCCUUCGACCAAUAGGAAUGAAGUUUCCCAUUCCUUACCUUCAUUCAACCAUUUCUUGCUUUCAUCCCUCCCAAUAAGCCUCCUAUUAGUUAAGAUUUUCUUCUUUAGGAUCUAUCUCCUCUCAAGGCUUUAUACUAAACAUUUAGGUCUUACAAUUGUUUUAAAUGUUAUAAAAAAAAAAAAAAAAAAAAAAAAAAAAAAAAAAACUCAAAAUAAAGUUUCUUAAAUCCACUCUCUUUAAAUUAAUCUAUUAACCAUUCUGACAUACAUCUAGAUUUAUUAACAUAUAAUAUAUUUUAACUAAUUUUUAUAUACUAUAAGCUUUUAUAGUACAACAACAUUAUCGUAAUACAUGAAGUCUUGCUUGAGAAUGCUCCGGGCACUUGGUUGUGGAAAGAAGAAUGGAAAUUACAAUAACAAAAUCCUAAUUCUAAUAGAAUAAAAACAAUGCUCUAAUUAGACCAUAAUAAUACUAAGCAAGCUUAAUCAAAUUCAAAAAAACCUCAAAGAAAUUUUAAACAAAUAAUAAGAAUUCUUAAAGAAACAUUAGAAAGAACACAAAUAUCACUCAAAUACAUCUCAAUUCAAUCUUAAUUUCAUUCUAAUUAAAAUCCUAUUGAACUUCAUUCAAACUUUAGGCCAAAAAUAAUUGAAUCUUAAAUCCUAAUAAAAUCCUAAACCCUAAAUUAAACCAUAAACAAAUCUUAAACCAAACCCCAACCAAAUCCUAAACCAAAUCCUAACCAAAUCCUAAACCAAAUCCUAACCAAAUCCUAAACCAAAUCCUAACCAAAUCCUAAACCAAAUCCUAACCAAACCCUAAACCAAAUCCUAAAUCCUAAAUCAAAUCCUAAUCAAAUCCUAAUCCAAAUUCUAAACCCUAAAUCAAAUCCUAAUCCAAAUCUUAAAUCCUAAAUCAAAUCCUAAUAAAAUCCUAAAUCCUAAAUAAAACUCUAAUCAAACCCUAAAUCAAAUCCUAAUCCAAAUCCUAAACCCUAAACUAAAUCUUAACCAAAUCCUAAAUCUUAAAUCAAACCCUAACCAAAUCUUAAAUCGUAAAUAAAAUCCUAACCAAAUCCUAAACCUAAAAUAAAUCCUAAAUAAAUCCUAAACCCUAAAUUAAAUCCUAAUCCCACCUCUAAAUCCC
rnacentral:lncRNA from 1 species